AGGACGAACGCUGGCGGCGUGCUUAACACAUGCAAGUCGAGCGAGGCCCUCUCUUCGGAGAGGUGCCCUAGCGGCGAACGGGUGAGUAACACGUGGGCAACCUGCCCCUAGCACUGGGAUAAGCCCGGGAAACCGGGUCUAAUACCGGAUAUGACCUUCAAGGGCAUCCUCGAAGGUGUAAAGGAUUCUGGCUAGGGAUGGGCCCGCGGCCUAUCAGCUUGUUGGUGGGGUAACGGCCCACCAAGGCAACGACGGGUAGCCGGCCUGAGAGGGCGACCGGCCACACUGGGACUGAGACACGGCCCAGACUCCUACGGGAGGCAGCAGUGGGGAAUAUUGCACAAUGGGCGAAAGCCUGAUGCAGCGACGCCGCGUGAGGGAUGACGGCCUCGGUUGUAACCUCUUCAGCCCGACGAAGCGAAGUGACGGUAGGAGCAGAAGAAGCACCGGCCAACUACGCGCCAGCAGCCGC
rnacentral:rRNA from 1 species